GACGAACGCUGGCGGCGUGCUUAACACAUGCAAGUCGAGCGGUAAGGCCCUUUCGGGGGUACACGAGCGGCGAACGGGUGAGUAACACGUGGGUGACCUGCCCUCAGCUCUGGGAUAAGCCUGGGAAACCGGGUCUAAUACCGGAUAUGACUCCAUGACGCAUGUUGUGGGGUGGAAAGCCUUGUGCGGCUGAGGAUGGGCCCGCGGCCUAUCAGCUUGUUGGUGGGGUGAUGGCCUACCAAGGCGACGACGGGUAGCCGGCCUGAGAGGGCGACCGGCCACACUGGGACUGAGACACGGCCCAGACUCCUACGGGAGGCAGCAGUGGGGAAUAUUGGACAAUGGGGGAAACCCUGAUCCAGCAAUGCCGCGUGAGUGAAGAAGGCCUUAGGGUUGUAAAGCUCUUUCGGCGGGACGGAUGGUGACGGUACCCGCAGAAGAAGCCCCGGCUAACUUCGUGCCAGCAGCCGCUGUAAU
rnacentral:rRNA from 1 species